UACGGGAGGCAGCAGUGGGGAAUAUUGCACAAUGGGCGCAAGCCUGAUGCAGCCAUGCCGCGUGUAUGAAGAAGGCCUUCGGGUUGUAAAGUACUUUCAGUCGUGAGGAAGGUGUUAAGGUUAAUAACCUUAGCAAUUGACGUUAGCGACAGAAGAAGCACCGGCUAACUCCGUGCCAGCAGCCGCGGUAAUACGGAGGGUGCGAGCGUUAAUCGGAAUUACUGGGCGUAAAGGGCACGCAGGCGGUUAAUUAAGUUGGAUGUGAAAUCCCCGGGCUUAACCUGGGAAUGGCAUUCAAGACUGGUUAGCUAGAGUCUUGUAGAGGGGGUAGAAUUCCGAUGUGUAGCGGUGAAAUGCGUAGAGAUGUGGAGGAAUACCGGUGGCGAAGGCGGCCCCUGGACAAAGGCUGACGCUCAUGUGCGAAAGCGUGGGGAGCGAAAC
rnacentral:rRNA from 1 species